CUUCCUAUGACACAUUUCCACCAGCAGCAUCAACGGUUAAACUGUCAUCGGGCAUCCGAAACAGCCAGGCUGAGUCGGGCUGGUCGCCCCCUCAAAGCUACCAGCCCCCCCGCCGCAGACAUCGCUGACCCCAGGCGAUCUCAGGAAACUUUGCCAUGCCAAUCAGCAAUUACUUCUGGAGGAACCAAAGCAGCACACAGCAUAUAGACCUGAUCUGAAGCCACACACAUGCAGGAGAUGCAUCCUUGGAUCUUCAGUUACCCUCAGUAGUGUGAUUUCAAGUUUGAUCACCGCCACCUGUGGAAAAUGGUGCUAGAAUUCAGAAUAAUGUCCCCAGAUGUGCCCUGGAGGGCCAGCUCCUACAUGCUGGUGGAGUGCCUCCAUCAGAUAAGGAGGCAAUUGAGGAGGAGUAAGGAGGACAUGUUUCAUGAAUUGCUGCACUCUUCAGAUCAGGCCAAGAGCAAGCACAGAGUGUGGAGAGAGACCCCAUAAACGAGAAACUAGAAAUGGAUAGCCAGGAGAGGAGACAGGCUCAGGAGCAGGUUAAUAAAGCUUAUGCAGGACCAAACAGAGAUGCUGUGGUCCCUGACUGUGCUGCAGGCAGAACACAUGUGUGCUCAACUCCUCCUACAGCCCAUACAGAACUGCCUUCCUUGCCUCCCUCCCUCAUUCCUCUCAUGCUCCCAGUCCUUCGCAGUACUCCUUGCACUCCAACCCUAGGGACAUUUUCUAUAAUGACAGCUGGACUGACAUGCAGCUGUGAGAUCCUUGUGUCCCUUGUAAGAAAUGUUCAUCUGUGUA